AUGAGCCAGUCAAGCAGAGCCAGUGGAGUGCCCGACGAAAUAAUUUGUCUCCAAGAUGAUCCUUUUAUCGAUGAAAUCAUAUCUUUGAAUGAUUUAUACUUCGGAAAUCAUACCGAGUUUGUGCCAUUGUCAUCGUCCGAAGACGAGGAAGAGGACAGUAAGACUACAGACAUCAGUGUUGGUGAGCAAGUAUUAUAUCUGGUGGAUGAGGCUGUGGAGGUAGGCAAGGGAGCCAAUACUGUGGUGAGCCUAUUACAUCACUUCUUUGAGCAUUGGGGAUAUGGAUAG
rnacentral:sRNA from 1 species